rnacentral:misc_RNA from 1 species
GAGCCUUUGCCGCCCGAAGGGUGCGCAUACCGCGACUCUAAACAAGCAUGUAUGCCAAGGGCAAGUCGUGCACUCGGCACGGCCACGCUGUCAAAUUGCGGGGCGUCCCUGAGAGCUUUCACUACUAAGCGUGCGUCCGAAAGGGCGUCGUGGCCAGGGUAAUUCCCUCGGGUAUAGUCACAACGUGAAAGAUUGGGUCACCUGCAGCCAAGUCCUGUCGUCACGGGGGGGGCCCUUCCUCCUCUCCCGGGCUAUGGAUGCUGUUCACAGGCCAAAUGGUGGCGGGUUCAGCCGUACUUUUGGUGCGGUUGGGCUCAAGAUAUGGUCGGUCCUGCGAGGAAACUCGUGGGGAGUUCACUGGUAACAAGACAAUCACAAAACGUUCCGUAGGUGAACCUGCGGAAGGAUCAUUAUCGAGUUAGGGUUCCUCUCACGGGCCCGAUCUCCCAACCCUGUGUCUACUACACCUUGUCGUUGCUUCGGCGGACCGGUCCCUCCAACCGCCGGGGGUGCAUGCCCCUGGAGAGUGUCCGCCGAUGGCCCAACCACAACAAAACUCUUUGUACGAAACCAUGUCGUCUGAAGUUACUUGAUAAUAAUCAACACAAAACUUUCAACAACGGAUCUCUUGGUUCUGGCAUCGAUGAAGAACGCAGCGAAAUGCGAUAAGUAAUGCGAAUUGCAGAAUUUCCGUGAGUCAUCGAAUCUUUGAACGCACAUUGCGCCCAUUGGCAUUCCGAUGGGCAUGCCUGUUCGAGCGUCAUUAUCCUCCCUCAAAUCCCCUGGGUUUGGUGUUGGACUCUGUUGUGCGGUGCUGGCACAACUGGUCUCAAAGACAAUGACGGCGUCCGUGGGACCCUCGGUGCAACGAGCUUUUUUCGAAGCACGCGUCGAGUGGACAAGUCUCUCCGGGCCGGUCUCCCU